rnacentral:rRNA from 1 species
UACGUAGGAUGCAAGCGUUGUCCGGAAUUAUUGGGCGUAAAGAGCGCGCAGGCGGUAUGACAAGUCAGAUGUGAAAGAGGCCGGCUUAACCGGCAAGGGUCAUUUGAAACUGUCAGACUAGAGUGCAGCAGAGGAUAGUGGAAUUCCCGGUGUAGUGGUGAAAUGCGUAGAUAUCGGGAGGAACACCAGUGGCGAAGGCGGCGCUCUGGACCGAGACUGACGCUGAGGCGCGAAAGCGUGGGGAGCAAACAGG